rnacentral:rRNA from 1 species
UGCUAUCGUUCUGUCAGUAGACGCUGAGAGAGGAGCUUGCUCUUCUUGGAUGAGUUGCGAACGGGUGAGUAACGCGUAGGUAACCUGCCUUGUAGCGGGGGAUAACUAUUGGAAACGAUAGCUAAUACCGCAUAACAAUGGAUGACACAUGUCAUUUAUUUGAAAGGGGCAAUUGCUCCACUACAAGAUGGACCUGCGUUGUAUUAGCUAGUAGGUGAGGUAAUGGCUCACCUAGGCGACGAUACAUAGCCGACCUGAGAGGGUGAUCGGCCACACUGGGACUGAGACACGGCCCAGACUCCUACGGGAGGCAGCAGUAGGGAAUCUUCGGCAAUGGGGGCAACCCUGACCGAGCAACGCCGCGUGAGUGAAGAAGGUUUUCGGAUCGUAAAGCUCUGUUGUAAGUCAAGAACGGGUGUGAGAGUGGAAAGUUCACACUGUGACGGUAGCUUACCAGAAAGGGACGGCUAACUACGUGCCAGCAGCCGCGGUAAUACGUAGGUCCCGAGCGUUGUCCGGAUUUAUUGGGCGUAAAGCGAGCGCAGGCGGUUUGAUAAGUCUGAAGUUAAAGGCUGUGGCUCAACCAUAGUUCGCUUUGGAAACUGUCAAACUUGAGUGCAGAAGGGGAGAGUGGAAUUCCAUGUGUAGCGGUGAAAUGCGUAGAUAUAUGGAGGAACACCGGUGGCGAAAGCGGCUCUCUGGUCUGUAACUGACGCUGAGGCUCGAAAGCGUGGGGAGCGAACAGGAUUAGAUACCCUGGUAGUCCACGCCGUAAACGAUGAGUGCUAGGUGAUGGGAUCCUUUCCGGCAUUCGGUGCGCAGCUACGCAUUAAAGCACUCGCCUGGAGGAGUACGACUGCAUGUCUGCAACCUCAAGGGCACUGACUGGGAUCGGCUACCAGCGGUGGAGCAUGGUGAUUGAUUCGAUGCAUUCCGAGGACUUACCAGGUCUGACCGUCCCGCAAUGG